UUGGGUUAAGUCCCGCAACGAGCGCAACCCUUGUGUUUAGUUGCAAACAAGGUCAAGCUGUGCACUCUAGACAGACUGCCGUGGACAACACGGAGGAAGGUGGGGGAUGACGGUCAAAUCAUCAUGCCCCUUAUGAUCUGGGCUACACACGUGCUACAAUGGCCGGUACAACGGGCAGCGAAGGAGCGAUCCGGAGCGAAUCCUAAAAAGCCGGUCCCAGUUCGGAUUGCAGGCUGAAACUCGCCUACAUGAAGUUGGAGUUGCUAGUAAUCGCGAAUCAGAAUGUCGCGGUGAAUGCGUUCCCGGGUCUU
rnacentral:rRNA from 1 species